AUUUAUAUAGUUUAAUUAAAAUAUAAUAAUUUCAUUAUUAAGAUAUAAUGAUAUUAUAAAUU
rnacentral:tRNA from 1 species